rnacentral:rRNA from 1 species
AUUGAACGCUGGCGGCAGGCCUAACACAUGCAAGUCGAGCGAGCGGCGGACGGGUGAGUAAUGCCUGGGAAUUGCCCAGUCGAGGGGGAUAACAGUUGGAAACGACUGCUAAUCCCGCAUACGAUUGGAUUGCCCAGGUGGGAUUAGCUAGUUGGUGAGGUAAUGGCUCACCAAGGCGACGAUCCCUAGCUGGUCUGAGAGGAUGAUCAGGAACACUGGAACUGUGACAGGGUCCAGACGCCUACGGGAGGCAACGGUGGGGAAUAUUGCACAAGGGGGGAAACCCUGAUGCAGCGAUGCCGCGUGUGUGAAGAAGGCCUUCGGGUUGGAAACAGCUUUCAGCCAUGACGCGGUAGUGGCAGAAGAAGCACCGGCUAACUACGUGCCAGCAGCCGCGGUAAUAA